rnacentral:rRNA from 1 species
UACGUGCCAGCAGCCGCGGUAAUACGUAGGGGGCAAGCGUUGUCCGGAAUUAUUGGGCGUAAAGCGCGCGCAGGCGGUUCCUUAAGUCUGAUGUGAAAGGCCACAGCUCAACUGUGGAGGGCCAUUGGAAACUGGGGAACUUGAGGACAGAAGAGGAGAGCGGAAUUCCACGUGUAGCGGUGAAAUGCGUAGAUAUGUGGAGGAACACCAGUGGCGAAGGCGGCUCUCUGGUCUGUAACUGACGCUGAGGCGCGAAAGCAUGGGUAGCGAACAGGAUUAGAUACCCUGGUAGUCCAUGCCGUAAACGUUGAGUGCUAGGUGUUAGGGGGUCCAACCCUUAGUGCUGCAGUUAACGCAAUAAGCACUCCGCCUGGGGAGUACGGCCGCAAGGCUGAAACUCAAAGGAAUUGACGGGGGCCUGCACAAGCGGUGGAGCAUGUGGUUUAAUUCGACGCAACGCGAAGAACCUUACCAGGUCUUGACAUCUUCGGACAGCCCAAGAGAUUGGGUCUUCCCUUCGGGGACCGAAUGACAGGUGGUGCAUGGUUGUCGUCAGCUCGUGUCGUGAGAUGUUGGGUUAAGUCCCGUAACGAGCGCAACCCCUGAUCUUAGUUGCCAGCAUUGAGUUGGGCACUCUAGGAUGACUGCCGGUGACAAACCGGAGGAAGGCGGGGAUGACGUCAAAUCAUCAUGCCCCUUAUGACCUGGGCUACACACGUGCUACAAUGGAUGGUACAAAGGGAAGCCAAACCGCGAGGUCGAGCUAAUCCCAUAAAGCCAUUCUCAGUUCGGAUUGUAGGCUGCAACUCGCCUGCAUGAAGCCGGAAUCGCUAGUAAUCGCGGAUCAGAAUGCCGCGGUGAAUACGUUCCCAGGCCUUGUACACACCGCCCGUCACACCACGAGAGUUGGCAACACCCGAAGUCGGUGGGGUAACCUUCACGGAGCCAG